GGUGGCCUAGUGGUUAGAGCAUCCACCUCGGAUGCGGGAGGUCGCAGGUUUUAUCCCUGGCCAAGUCA